rnacentral:rRNA from 1 species
UACGUAGGGGGCAAGCGUUGUCCGGAUUCAUUGGGCGUAAAGAGCGUGUAGGCGGUCUCGUAAGUCGGGUGUGAAAGCCCUGGGCUCAACCCAGGAAGUGCACUCGAAACUGCAAGGCUAGAGUACUGGAGAGGUUGGUGGAAUUCUCGGUGUAGAGGUGAAAUUCGUAGAUAUCGAGAGGAACACCGGUGGCGAAGGCGGCCAACUGGACAGAUACUGACGCUGAGACUCGAAAGCGUGGGGAGCAAACAGG